rnacentral:tRNA from 1 species
UAGAAACUUAGGCUAACUCAGACCAAAGGCCUUCAAAGCCUUAAGUGAAGGUUAAACCCCUUCAGUUUCUGU